rnacentral:rRNA from 1 species
GUGCCAGCAGCCGCGGUAAGACGGAGGGGGCAAGCGUUGUCCGGACUCACUGGGCGUAAAGCGCACGUAGGCGGUUGUGUGCGUCGCUGCUGAAAGCGCCAGGCUUAACCUGGCGAGGCGUGGCGAUACGACAUAACUUGAGGCAGGCAGAGGGUGGCGGAAUUCCGGGUGUAGUGGUGAAAUGCGUAGAGAUCCGGAGGAACGCCUGUGGCGCAAGCGGCCACCUGGGCCUGUCCUGACGCUGAGGUGCGAAAGCGUGGGGAGCGAACCGGAUUAGAUACCCGCGUAGUCC